UCGGGCGUAGUGUACGGCACACGGCUGGCUGUCCUAUGUCGUGACCGUAUCUAGCGUAGCUAGCAGUCUGGGGUUCGACUCCCCGCGUUCGAA